UCCCCAGACUGGUGCUCCACCCACACCUCCAGCUGGAGCCAUGCAGGGCUUUGUCAUGCCCCCAGCUGCUGCCCCUGUGGCUCCUAUGAUGGCUCCCAUGGGAGCGCCACUGAUGGGCCAGCCCAUGAUGAGACCUCCUCGCGGUGUCGCUUCGCCAGGAGCACCGCUGACCCCUGGACCUGCUGUCCCGAGCCCCAAGAAGCCAAAAGACCCCCUGGCUGAUCUUGACCUCAAGGACUUCAUGUGAUCACCCAGAUUUUAUUCCUUAUUUUAGUCUGGAUUGGAGUGGAAUACGUUUGCCUGGCGCCCCCUCCACCCCCGAGAUAAACAGAGCCCC